rnacentral:rRNA from 1 species
AAUUUUGGACAACGGGGGCAACCCUGAUCCAGCCAUCCCGCGUGUGCGAUGAAGGCCUUCGGGUUGUAAAGCACUUUUGGCAGGGAAGAAAAGUCUCGUGUUAAUACCUGGAGCUGCUGACGGUACCUGCAGAAUAAGCACCGGCCAACUACGUCCCAGCAGCCGGGGUAAUACGUAGGGUGCAAGCGUUAAUCGGAAUUACUGGGCGUAAAGGGUGCGCAGGCUGUUUGACAAGAAGGAUGUGAAAUCCCGGGGCUUAACCUCGGAACUGCAUUCUUAACUGCCAGGCUAGAGUAUGUCAGAGGGGGGUAGAAUUCCGCGUGUAGCAGUGAAAUGCGUAGAGAUGCGGAGGAAUACCGAUGGCGAAGGCAGCCCCCUGGGAUAAUACUGACGCUCAGGCACGAAAGCGUGGGGAGCAAACA